rnacentral:ribozyme from 1 species
CUCUUCUUCUUCUUCUUCUUCUUCUUAUUCCUGUUCUUUCUCCUGCUUCUUUUUUUGACGCCGCAGCGCAGUAUACUGAGCAGUUGUGCUUCUCUUAUAUGUCGUCCUCAUGAAAAAUAGUACUGAUGAGACAAAAGCCUAGCUGAACUAUUUUCUCCAAUUUGUGCUUACACUUAGUAGGAAAAAAAAA